rnacentral:rRNA from 1 species
AACGAACGCUGGCGGCAGGCUUAACACAUGCAAGUCGAACGCCCCGCAAGGGGAGUGGCAGACGGGUGAGUAACGCGUGGGAAUCUACCGUACCCUACGGAAUAACGCAUGGAAACGUGUGCUAAUACCGUAUACGCCCUUCGGGGGAAAGAUUUAUCGGGGUAUGAUGAGCCCGCGUUGGAUUAGCUAGUUGGUGGGGUAAAGGCCUACCAAGGCGACGAUCCAUAGCUGGUCUGAGAGGAUGAUCAGCCACAUUGGGACUGAGACACGGCCCAAACUCCUACGGGAGGCAGCAGUGGGGAAUAUUGGACAAUGGGCGCAAGCCUGAUCCAGCCAUGCCGCGUGAGUGAUGAAGGCCCUAGGGUUGUAAAGCUCUUUCACCGAUGAAGAUAAUGACGGUAGUCGGAGAAGAAGCCCCGGCUAACUUCGUGCCAGCAGCCGCAGUAAUAC